rnacentral:rRNA from 1 species
UACGGAGGGGGCUAGCGUUGUUCGGAAUUACUGGGCGUAAAGCGCACGUAGGCGGCUUCUUAAGUCAGGGGUGAAAUCCUGGAGCUCAACUCCAGAACUGCCUUUGAUACUGAGGAGCUUGAGUCCGGGAGAGGUGAGUGGAACUGCGAGUGUAGAGGUGAAAUUCGUAGAUAUGGGGAGGAACACCGGUGGCGAAGGCGGCCAUCUGGACGGAUACUGACGCUGAGACGCGAAAGCGUGGGGAGCAAACAGG